CCUACGGGAGGCUGCAGUGGGGAAUAUUGGACAAUGGGGGCAACCCUGAUCCAGCCAUGCCGCGUGUGUGAAGAAGGCCCUCGGGUUGUAAAGCACUUUCAGUGAGGAAGAACGCCUGGUGGUUAAUACCCAUCAGGAAAGACAUCACUCACAGAAGAAGCACCGGCUAACUCCGUGCCAGCAGCCGCGGUAAUACGGAGGGGGCGAGCGUUAAUCGGAAUUACUGGGCGUAAAGCGCGCGUAGGUGGCUUGAUAAGCCGGUUGUGAAAGCCCCGGACUCAACCUGGGAACGGCAUCCGGAACUGUCAAGCUAGAGUGCAGGAGAGGAAGGUAGAAUUCCCGGUGUAGCGGUGAAAUGCGUAGAGAUCGGGAGGAAUACCAGUGGCGAAGGCGGCCUUCUGGACUGACACUGACACUGAGGUGCGAAAGCGUGGGUAGCAAACAGGAUUAGAUACCCUGGUAGUC
rnacentral:rRNA from 1 species